GCAGUUGUGGCCGAGUGGUUAAGGCGAUGGACCAGAAAUCCACUGGGGUCUCCCCGCACAGGUUCGAAUCCUGUCGACUACG
rfam:Ixodes scapularis strain Wikel colony gcontig_1107728541336, whole genome shotgun sequence.